GACGAACCGUGCGAACGUUGUUCGGAAUCACUGGGCUUAAAGGGUGCGUAGGCGGGCGGCCGCGUCCGGGGUGAAAUCCCACGGCUCAACCGUGGAACGGCCUCGGAUACGGGCGGCCUCGAGGGGGGUAGGGGCAUCUGGAACUGUGAGUGGAGCGGUGAAAUGCGUUGAUAUUCACAGGAACUCCGGUGGCGAAGGCGAGGUGCUGGACCCCAUCUGACGCUGAGGCGCGAAAGCCAGGGGAGCGAACGGG
rnacentral:rRNA from 1 species